UUUAAAAAUCAUAUAAGUCGAAAGUAUCAUUUAAUAAGUAUUAAAAAUAAAAGAUAAAUAUAUAUAUAUAUAUAUAUGUAUAUAUAUAUAUAAUUUAAAUUAAAUUAUAUGCCAUAUAAAAGUACAUCAAUAUCUUAAUUUUAAAAUUUACUUUGAAUAAUGUUUUUGAUAAAACUUUUGAAAAAAUAUUGACAAUUUAAUUUUUAAAAAUAUUAUAAAUUAGUUAAACUAUUAAUCAUACAGUAAAAAUUUUGCUAUCAGUAAUUUAAUUUUUGUUGUUAUAACAUAUACAAUUGAUAAAAAAAACAUAUGAGUAAAAAACAUCAUUUAAUAAAUAAUAAUAUUAAAAUGUACUAUUUAUAUAUGUUACUAUCAUUUAAAUUUAAUUAUAUACCAUAUCAAUUAGAAAAACUAUUGUUUGGAUUAAUAAAAGUUAUUUAUAUGUUCGCACCAAUUUAAUUAUAUAAAUAUUAGUUACUGAAUUUUUAAUUAUUCAAUAUAUAUUUAUUAUUUCAUAAUAUGUUAGAAACAUAUAAUAUAGAAAAUCAUUUUUAUAUAAUGUUCUUAACCUAGUAGAUAGACUAAAGCUCAAAAUCCAGAGUUAAUUAACCUCAAAACGUAGUAGAUAGAUUAAAGCUUCGGUCAUCCAAUACCAAUCAUCAUCAUGUGUUGUAAAGUAUACUAGCCUUUGACCCGCGCGUCCGCGCGGAUGUAUAUGUUUUAUAUAAUUAAAUGUUUUUGUUUGUUGUAAAAACAUAAUUGUGUUUCAUAGAUUAUCUAUUGUUUGACAUUGGUGUAUAUUUGUAAUUUUGUUUAGUGUCUAUUUUUUAACUAUCAGGUUGUAUACGUCUUUUAUUGUAUAUUUUUUAAUUUUACUUGGUAACAUUUGACAUUAAAAUGAUUAAUUAUAGAGUAUUUUGUUGAGAAAAUAUGUGUUGUGGUAAAUUAUACUAUAAAUGUGGUGAGUAAAAAUUUUUGAAGACAAUAUUUAAUAUGUAUUUUUUAAAAAAUAUUUAGACAGCAUCAAUAUUAACUAAACAUUUUUAUAGACAAUCUAUAGCAAUUAUAUAUAGCAAGCUGAAAUACAUAAAUUGAAUUGGGCCUUUUGUUAUGAAUUAUAAAUAGGAAAUUCAUAUUUAAGAAAAAAGAUAUUGGACCUUAAAAAUUCAAGGAAGCCCAUAUAACUAUUAUUUCCGGGAAAAAAACAGAAAAAUAUCUUGUACGUCUCUUUUUUUGUUCCCGUAGAAAGUUCUGUGUCUUCAACCUAUCUCUUCGUCGUUGUUGCCGUUCGUUCUGCUGGCGAGAAGUGCACAAACAGCUAUGAAGUUUUCACUUAAAAGAGAGCCAGAGUCUAGAUCUACUGAUGACUACUGGAGAUUUUGGGAUACAGAGGUGUGUAAUACCAAGAACGUUCAAUCGGUUAAAUCUCCAGUCAAAAAAAAACCUCAGCCCCUUACAGAUUGGUUAAGAAUCAGGCUGAACUUUGGUUUGUUCGCGGGUAGCAGCUGAAUAUUUCGAGGACUUCGUCUCUGGCUGAGAUCUUUAUUCCUUCUUAAGGGAGAAACUGAGGGACAGGGGACAUAAGUGAUCUAUAGAAAAGCUCAGCCAGAGACAUGGUGAAGGAGAGAGAGAUAAAAAAAUGUCGUAACAUCACAUAGCAAAGGGAAGGCAACUAACCAUGUAGUAAAUCUUUAAUGGAUGUGUUCUCAUUUAAAUUCAUUCGAUCAUCAUUUAGUACUAUGAUCAUAUGCUGAUUUUGAAUUUAUUUAUUGUUGGAAGUAUAUUGGAGGUGGAGAGAACCAGUACCAGUAAUCAAGAUGCAAAAGAAAAAUGCCAACUUGUCUGGACAACAGUCUUUUUCUAAGGUUAAGCAACUGCUGGGCGUGGGGGUAUAUGGCACACUGUCUUUGAUUAAAUCGAUACCUUGCAAAGAUAAUCAGUGUCAAUUCCCAGUCGUACAUUUCCUCUUUUCCGGUUCAUCAUAUUUGGAAUACAAUGUGCGUGAGAGUGCUCUGUAUGAGGAAAAGGAUGAGAAAAAUCUUGCGUAAGAAAGAGACGUUGUCUGGAUGAGAAUAAACUCUUUUGAGCAAUCAUGUUGUUGGAGAUUAUGAAGAGAUUUGAUGAGAAGGACGUUAAUAUGCAAAGGUGAUAACGUAACAGAUGCUUUCUAUCAAAGCUGAGACAGGAUUAAUGCGUGGACAAUGACAUGGAGUUGUAGCUUUCGUUAUUUUGGGGUUUUGAUUCUGCAUACCAAGAUAAACCGAGGGAGAGAGCAAUGAAAAAUGGCGAGAAGCUGAGGAAAUGAAGGAAAAAAAAGUGAGACCUAUCAUAGAUUACUGACAAAAGCAUAGAAAGUGAAGGAGAAUUUCUUUUACAGUGUCAGAUAGUUUCUAAACGAAAAACUGCUUACAUUUCUGUGAAGCAGUUGCUGCUGUAGGUGUUUCAUCUUGAGAUAUGAGAUUCUUCAGUGUAAAAGCUGGAUAACAAAACAUAAAAUUUAUAUUGACUUCAAGUU